rnacentral:lncRNA from 1 species
AUUGGCUGCAGGUGGACCCUGGGGACCCCUUAAAGGGAUGGAACUUAUAAGCUGGGAGAUGGACUUACCUUGGCCAGGUUAGAAGCUGUUCCCUGGACUUAAGCAUUUUUAUGCUUCCUUUGUCCUCCUUGGCUGUUUUUCUGCAACAUUUGGUAUAUUCUUUUUGGAUAUUUGAACAAUUUCAGUCGUUUCAACUAGAGUUUGAAAGCCAGGUCAUGGUCUUUUGGGGCCAGUGAGGUGGCAGCCCCAGGCCAAGAAGUGCAGGAACCCCAAGGUGGGGGGACAAGAAAACGGUGCCAGACCUGCCUGCUCCAGCUCGUUUUACCCCCCAGGGGCUGUGCUAGAUGAGAUCAGACCUGGAAAAGUGCUGUUUUCUCUUAACGAGGGGGUCCCUUUACAGCCUGUCACUUGGCAAAGCCAUAUUCUUGGCAGAAAGAAACAUGAAUUUCCCUUCCACCGGGGAGUUAGCCCUAAGUUGGAAUGUUGGCGCCCCUGGUGCGUGGCUGUGCGCCCAGGAGCAUCUGAAGCAGGUCUCUCGGCCUCCACGCCCGCAUCUGUGGGAGAGAAUUGUGCUGAGCUCACAGGCCGGUGGUGAGGACCGUUGAAGGAGGUAGGCAUGGGAGCGCACUGGCCAGCCCCAUGGCCUCACACUCUCUUUCCCUUCUCCAUCCAGAUCUGGAGCCAAGCUCUCCUCUUAAGGAACUCUUUUAAGAAUUCUUUCAUUUCUCUGCUUCAUUUAGUCUGAAAAUGUUUUUGCUUCCUUCUCCACCAUGGAUUCUGCGCUAAUGGCUGCAGCGUUGCUGGCCUGGGGAUCCUGGGCAAAGCCUGCAGCCGGUGAGGGCCAGUGGGAAUGCACUGAGCAAUCAGACUUGUUUUUAGGAUACAGUUAAGUACGUACUUGGAUGUUCAGGACCAGACGGCUGCUGCGGCAGAACGAUGACUCUCUAAACCCUUCUCCGCAAAUGUAAGGGCCCCAGAGAGAGGCCAGACAAUGGCAAAAGGGGAGGGGAGAAAUAGUCCAAUCCAGACCUUGCCAGGCAAGGUUUGCCCUCUCUCAUAGGAGGUGUGAUUGAGGAGCCUCCUUGACUCUUCAGUCCAACUUAUGCUUAUCAUUCAUUAGUUCAUUUGUUCAUUCAUUCAUUCAUUCAUCCAUCUGUCAUGGUGCUCAUUCAGAGAUGAACACUGUGCCUCCAGCUCUAGUACUCAAUCUAGGAUGUGGAGGAAGAAUAGAUCAGAGCAUCCCCGCUUGUCGAGCUCGCUGAUAAAUCGUGUAUUAGAGGCACAUGCUAAACAAGGGUCACAGAGCAGAGCACAGAGGCAGAUUCCCAGGGAUCUAGGAUUACCCGAUCCGUUAUGGAUUGCAUAGGGGUAGAGAGGGGGUUCCUGAAACAGAGAGAUGAUCUCGUGCAAAGCUUGGAGGCAUGAGAAAUUGUGGCAAGUUCAAGGGGUGGAACUAGGGGCUGGAGGGUAGGGGCAGAGAGGGGAUGUAUGUGGGAGGUGUGGGGGGUGUAGGGAUGCAAGCACUUUUGGGCGGGGGCGGGGGCAGGGCAGGGCUGGCAGUUGGGUGCAGAAUGCCCAAGAGAGUGGGAUUUGAGGCUACAGAGGUAAAGAGCCCAGAGGAUCACAGGGUCAUUCGUCUUUGCUCUGUGGUUUAACAAAGAGCUUCCGGGGGAUUUUAGGUAGAGAAACUAUGAGGUGAUGUUUCUCUAUUGAUUAUAUUGUGUGUCCAGUAAUAUUUUGUAUCCAGGAAUUUGAAGAGUUAGGGGAAAGAGAUGUUUCUUGCUUUUGUGGAUAUUAAGAUUAGAUUGCAAUGACAAGUACACGCAGUGUCCUUCUGCCACCUCUUCCGGGUCUGUCUGCAUGUUUGCAAUCUGUCCUCCUAGCCAGCUUGCUCCAGGCUGUGAACCUCGGGCCCGAGGCCAUGAUGCCCUGCUGGAUUUGUCCCAGGCCUCCCCAGAGCAUGGACGUUGUCCCCUACCCCUUGUCACUGGUGGGACUUCUGUUGCGAAGGGCCAGACCCCUCCCCGCACCCCAACCUAAGUGCCCGUGGCUCCUGCUGUGUCCACCUAUCAGGGAACAGGAAACAAUGGCUGCCUGAACUACCUCAAGCCAGGUGGGCAGGGGCACCUCGGAGGCCCCAGUAGGUCCCCUUGUCCCCCGUCUCUUCCAGGAUCAACCCUGGCCUCCUUCCCUUUGAGGAGCUUCCUGGAGUUCACCAUAUUUCCUGCUGGAACCGUCCUUUCUCCCCCAGCAUAUAAUUUGUCACAGAUGGAGCUAGGUGGUUUCCAGCAUUGCAGGGAACCUCUGGGCAAAGCUGAACGAGAGCAAACAAAGGUAUAAGGAUUGUCACAAACCAUUAGGCGGAGACAAUUAGCGAUGUGGGAGAGUGUGGUCUAAAUAAGGAGACGGGCCAGUUCCUUUAAACAUUCAGCUAGAGAGAGGGCAGUGUGUGCAUUCUUCCUGCCACUCCCCCCCACUCACCCGCCCUGCUGUAACUGGCUCCUCCUGCCCUGGCUUCCUACCUCCCCUGGGCUGGGCUGCCUACCUCCUAGCAAGGACAGGGACCUGGUGGCUUCCCCAGCCACUGAGGACUCGCCUGCUCCGCGUCUGAGAGUCUUUCAGAGCGCGCGCACAUGCACACACACACUUCUUGUUCACGGUGGCCCCUCUAGGGCCCCCCAGGCAAAGUGAGUGUUUUCUGAGUGUGGGGAUGAAGCAAUGGCAAAGUAGUUUGUCUUCUGAGAGUUGAGGGUAUCUCAGCUGUCUUGAGUUGCCUCCUUUGUGAAGGGGAGAGAGAAUGGAAUCCUCCUGAAUCAAAGAUGGUUAAUAUAUAUACUUUGUCUUCAGCGAUGGCCCUGGACCCUUGUGUUGUGGGGAUUAACUUUUCCUUCAUCCAUCCUUGCUUCCAUGUGUGGCUUUUAGGACUGGCCCCCACCUGUCAAAUUAACCUCUCGGAUGUUGUAAUUGAUAAACUCUCUCACGGGCCAGGGGGUGAGUUGUGAGUCAUGGGUCUUGAGGAUUUAGGAGAUUAUUUCAUAGCACCUUCCUCUGCCGGGAGCAGGCUGGCUCAGGGCAGACAGUGGACACUGCCUGUGCGCUCUAAUGGACCAGCUCUGCUGUAUCCUAGCACCUGCCACAGGGAUAAACAUAGGCUGGACAAGUGCAAGGUGGGCCGGGAAGGUUUUUGAAUGAUUAAAUGGAGAUUCCAUUUUUAUGAUAAACAAACGAAGAGUCUUCUCCUCCCAUCUGUGUUUUGACUGGAGCCAAAAUGGAGUUCUUCUUCUUUUUUUUUUUUUUUUCCCUCUCAAAAAAUGUAGACUCCUGAGAUUCUCAGCCUUCUUGAAUGGCAUUUUCCUUCUCCUGGUACUGGGAAAAAGGGGAUCCAUUCAGAUCCUUACAGAGGUACUCACUGUUCUUCUUGGAAACCCCACAUGGGAUAAAGGAUGCUAAUUUAUGCAUAUUUACAGGCAACUAACUCCAUACCCUGGUGAGCUACAUAGCCUUGUGAGUUCAAAGUUAACCUUCCAACAAUAGGAGUGGAAUUUUAAUUGAGAAAGGUAAGGCAGGCAUCUGGCAGAUGUGCUGUGUUUGCGGGGGGGCAUUCUAUUAAGGAGUCACUGAAAUGGCUCUGUAGCUGUUGUAAUAGAUUCUUAUUUAAAUGAGAUUUCACUUUUCUUUCUUUUUUCAAUAAAGAGAGAGUCGCCCACCUUUGCAAUGUUUUUCAACAAGCUGAGAUUUCUUUCUCUUUUUAAAAAAUCAUAAUUGAUUUAUUUUGUAAUACAGCAUUGUCUAACGUUCCCAGGCUCAUUUGAAUAAAUUAUUCAUCAGCAUUUUCUUAAAGUGAUGCUCCAGCUUCUGCCUGCUGGAGCUCCCUUGGUCCCUUCUUGUCACGGAGGUGCCGGAAACAUGUGCAGUCACAGCGAACAACAUGAAUCAAAAGCCAGAGCAAGUUGCUCUUAUCUAAAGCCACCCAGGACUGGGUUAUUUAUAAGGACACUUGAUGGGUCCCAUUUCUAAUGGGAGAGGGGUGUGGGAAGGGUGGAGUCAAGAGGUAGAUCCGCUAACAUACCUGUCCUGUGUUAUUAUCCUAAAGUCCUUAGCUGCACUGUCAAGGCAGGCCCAUCAAGUGGAUACACAGAGGUUAGCAUAUUUAUUGAUUUCUUUAGGUGGGUGAACUUAUUUCUCAGGCUGCUAUAACAAGAUACCAUAGACUAGGUGGCUUAAUGGAAAGCAGUAUGGAGGUUCCUCAGAAAACUAAAUAUAGAACUAUAUAUGGUCCAGCAAACCCACUCUUGGGCAUAUAUCUGGAGAAAACUAUAAUUCAAAAAGAUACAUGCAUCCCUAUGUUCAUUGCAGCACUAUUCACAAUAACGAAGAUACGGAAACAACUUAAAUGUCCAUGGACAGAUGAAUGGAUUAAGAUGUGGUACCCGUGUACAGUGGAAUACUACCCAGCCAUAAAGAAGAACAAAAUAAUGCCUUUUGCAGCAACAUAGGUGUAACUAGAGGGUCUCAUACUAAGUGAAGUCAGAAAGAGAAAGACAAAUACCAUAUGAUAUCACUUGCAUGUGGAAUCUAAAAUAUGGCACAAAUGAACCUAUCUGCAAAACAGGAACAGCCUUACAGACAUGGAGAACAGACUUGUGGUUGCCAAGGGGGAGGCAAGAGGGAUUGGGAUGGACAGGGAGUUUGGGGUUGGUAGGUGCCAGCUAUUGCAUUUAGAAUAGUUAGACAAUAAGGUCCUGCUGUAUAGCACAGGGAACUAUCUCUUGUGAUAGAACAUGAUGGAAGAUAGUAUGAGAAAAAGAAUGUGUAUAUGUGUGUGUGUGUAUAUAUAUGACUGUGUCACUAUGCUAUACAGCAGAAAUUGGAAAACAUUGUAAAUUGACUAUGCUUAAAAUAAAAUUAAAAAUGUGUGGCUUAAAUGGCACACAUUUAUUGCUUGCAGUUCUGAAGGCUGGGAGUCCAAGAUCAAGGCACUGGCAGAUUCAGUAGCAAGUGAGGGUCUGCUUCAUGAUCAGAUAACUAUCUUCUUGCUAUGUGCUCCCAUGGUGGAGAGAGAGAGCCUUCCGUGGCCACUCUUUUAUAAGGGCACUAAUCUCACUCAUGAACGCACCACCCUUGUGACUCAGUAACCUCCCAAAAGUUCCACCUCCUAAUCCCAAGGACACGGAGAUUCAGACCAAAGCCCCGGGGCCCUACUUAUAUGAUUCAGGAGGUGGAUUCAGAGCUGGUUAUAGAUUUGAAAGGCCUGUGAAAAAGUGCAAAGGUCUGACAAAUAUUAGUCUGAGCGUGAAAGUGGCGAUAAACACUAUCCCUCCCCCACACCCCAAGGCUGAGGUCAAGAAGGGCUCUGUGGGGCCAUGUUCCAGUCCUCUCAUCAAGGUCAACAGGUAAGUCUGGGGCAAAAGAAACCCCUCAUCUUAGGAGUGAGCCCCUGCCCGUGUUGGCCUGGCAUUUCCAGGGACCGCAUUGGCUGGUGGGUUCUGGUGGGUGGAGACCUUCCUCCAGAGCCAGGAGCUCUGAGAGUCAGCCUGGGGACGGGCUUGGGGGACUGUGGGUCUUGCCCUUGUACCAAUGGGUGCUUCAAGGAAACUGUGACUUCUCUCCUUCCC